rnacentral:rRNA from 1 species
UAGAGUUUUGAUCCUGGCUCAGGAUGAACGCUGGCGGCGUGCUUAACACAUGCAAGUCGAACGAUGAAGCCCAGCUUGCUGGGUGGAUUAGUGGCGAACGGGUGAGUAACACGUGAGUAACCUGCCCUUAACUCUGGGAUAAGCCUGGGAAACUGGGUCUAAUACCGGAUAGGAGCGUCCACCGCAUGGUGGGUGUUGGAAAGAUUUAUCGGUUUUGGAUGGACUCGCGGCCUAUCAGCUUGUUGGUGAGGUAAUGGCUCACCAAGGCGACGACGGGUAGCCGGCCUGAGAGGGUGACCGGCCACACUGGGACUGAGACACGGCCCAGACUCCUACGGGAGGCAGCAGUGGGGAAUAUUGCACAAUGGGCGCAAGCCUGAUGCAGCGACGCCGCGUGAGGGAUGACGGCCUUCGGGUUGUAAACCUCUUUCAGUAGGGAAGAAGCGAAAGUGACGGUACCUGCAGAAGAAGCACCGGCUAACUACGUGCCAGCAGCCGCGGUAAUACGUAGGGUGCGAGCGUUAUCCGGAAUUAUUGGGCGUAAAGAGCUCGUAGGCGGUUUGUCGCGUCUGUCGUGAAAGUCCGGGGCUUAACCCCGGAUCUGCGGUGGGUACGGGCAGACUAGAGUGCAGUAGGGGAGAUGGAAUUCCGGGACGGUGGAAUGCGCAGAUAUCAGGAGGAACACCGAGA